CCUACGGGAGGCAGCAGUAGGGAAUAUUGCUCAAUGGGGGAAACCCUGAAGCAGCAACGCCGCGUGGAGGAUGAAGGUUCUAGGAGUGUAAACUCCUUUUUUUAGAGAAGUUAAUGCCGGUAUCUCACGAAUAAGCACCGGCUAACGCCGUUCCAGCAGCCGCGGUAAUACGGAGGGUGCAAGCGUUACUCGGAAUGACUGGGCGUAAAGCGUGCGCAGGCGGGUUUGUAAGUCAGAUGUGAAAUCCUGUAGCUUAACUACAGAACUGCAUUUGAAACUCUGAAUCUAGAGUGUGGGAGAGGUAGGUGGAAUUCGUGGUGUAGGGGUAAAAUCCGUAGAUAUCAAGAAGAAUACUGAUUGCGAAGGCAGCCUACUGGAACAUUACUGACGCUCAUGCACGAAAGCGUGGGUAGCAAACAGGAUUAGAUACCCGAGUAGUC
rnacentral:rRNA from 1 species